rnacentral:lncRNA from 1 species
GUGCUGUGUGAAACGAGCCAUUAUCUGCGGUCACCUCACCGCGCAGCAGCAGCAGAACUUCAUGCUACUGCCGAGAAGUGGCUCAGUACUGCAUCACCAGUCCACAUCCCCUUCAGUCUCUCGCAGCUACCCUUCUGCUCUGCACUGCUAUGAGAUCAACGCUAUCUGGAUUCCAAUCUGAGCAGCUCACAAGGCAAGUACAACCAUCCUCGGCAUAGAGGAGGAAGGUGAGCCUCUCGAAGUGAGACCCCGUGGUUCCCAGGCAUCUUGCAUCCUGAAUACAUGACACCAUUCAGAGAA